rnacentral:tRNA from 1 species
GCCUGGGUAGCUCAGUGGUAGAGCUCCUUACUAGAUUUUCAGGGGCCCGGGUUCGAAUCCCGGUCUAGUCC